GGCCAAUAUUUUUUUAAUGUUAAUAAAUUGAAAUCUAUUUAUUUCAAAGGCGAAGCUUCUUCUUUUAUCGAGCACAGUUAUUAAAGCACUCACUCCUUCUCACAAUAGAAGAAUAAAAUACUCCGAGAAUUUGCAUGUUCCAAUCGUUUUUAUAUAUAUCGUUGUCCAAGGGUAUGAGACAAUCUUCUUAAGAUCAUGCCCCAUCAUUAGAUUGUAGCACGAGUAGAACACUGGCUGGCUCUCAACUUUUAGUUUGGGUUCGUGUUAAUAGAACUUAAUUUUCCCCUAAUUGUUUUAAUGAUUUUGUUUUCAUUUUCG
rnacentral:lncRNA from 1 species